rnacentral:rRNA from 1 species
CGUCUAUAUACGUAUAGCAUAUCAAUAAGCGGAGGAAAAGAAACUAACUAGGAUUCCCUCAGUAACGGCGAGUGAAGCGGGAAGAGCUCAAAUUUGAAAUCUUCAAGGUUCUACCUUGACGAAUUGUAGUUUAAAGAAGUGUUUUCUGUUGGAGUUUUGGUAAAAGUUCUUUGGAAUAGGACAUCAUAGAGGGUGAGAAUCCCGUAUUUGACCAUUAUUUCCAACUUUGUGAUACACUUUCAAAGAGUCGGAUUGUUUGGGAAUGCAGUCCAAAAUGGGUGGUAAAUUUCAUCUAAAGCUAAAUACUGGCGAGAGACCGAUAGCGAACAAGUACCGUGAGGGAAAGAUGAAAAGAACUUUGAAAAGAGAGUUAAACAGUACGUGAAAUUGUCAAAAGGGAAGCGUUUGACACCAGUGUUGUUUUCUCGAAAAUCAAUUAAAAAUGGCAGGAUUUUGUGUUGUAUUGACUUUAUCAGCUUUCAGCACUUUUUUCCUGUCUUUUUUAAUGCACUUUUCGUUUAACAAGUCAACAUCAAUUUCUUUUGUUGUAAAAGGGUCAUUGGAAGGUGGCUUUCUUUUCGGAGAAAGUGUUUAUAGCCUUUGACUUCUGCAAGUCGGAGAGAUUGAGGUCUGCAGCGUAGAUCCCUCGGGGUUAGAUGCAUUUGUGCUAAGUUAUAGCCUUUCAUAGACAACUUGUUGACUAUGAUCAGUCAUGUAGCUUACUCGCUUAUGUUAUUUUACCUACGCUUAGGAUGUUGAUCUGUAGUGCGUGCGC